AUGAACGCUAGCGGCAGGCUUAAUACAUGCAAGUUGAGGGGCAGCAUGAUAUACGCGAGUAUAUUGAUGGCGACCGGCGGACGGGUGAGUAAUAGGUAGGAGACCUACCUCAUACAGGGGGGUAGCAUAGAGAAAUCUGUGGUAAUACCCCAUGAGGUUAUAUGAAUAGAGGCAUAUAAUCAAAGCAUAAGCGAUUAUGCGGUAUGAGAGGGGCCUACUGACCAUUAGCUAGUUGGUGAGGUAAGGGCUCACCAAGGCGAAGAUGGCUAGGGGUUUUGAGAGAGAGACCCCCCACAUUGGAACUGAGAGACGGUCCAGACUCCUACGGGAGGCAGCAGUAGGGAAUAUUGGGCAAUGGGCGAAAGCCUGACCCAGCCAUGCCGCGUGAAGGAAGACGGCCUUAUGGGUUGUAAACUUCUUUACUACGCGAAUAGAGGUUAGUACGAGAUACUAAUAGGAAGGUAGUGUAGUAAAAAGCACCGGCUAACUCCGUG
rnacentral:rRNA from 1 species